UACGUAGGGCGCAAGCGUUGUCCGGAAUUAUUGGGCGUAAAGAGCUCGUAGGUGGCGUGUCGCGUCUGCCGUGAAAGCCCCAUGGCUUAACUGUGGGUCUGCGGUGGGAUACGGGCAGGCUGGAGGCUGGUAGGGGGCAAGCGGAAUUCCUGGUGUAGCGGUGAAAUGCGCAGAUAUCAGGAGGAACACCGGUGGCGAAGGGCGGCUCACUGGUCCGGUACUGACGCUGAGGUGCGAAAGCGUGGGGAGCAAACAGG
rnacentral:rRNA from 1 species